rnacentral:lncRNA from 1 species
AUGGCCGGCAAUGCUUUAUACCCUUUGCAGGUAGCGCAGGUGUUAGCUAUCAAAAAGUAUGGAAACUUGCCAAGUGCAAUUUCUGUCGACUGAGAAAAAGGAGACACCCUGAACACCUACUAAACAGUGUUUAAGUACCGCAAAUCUUGCCCUGAUAAGUCUGAGAUGUUCCUGUGACAACAUAAACGUCCACUACUCUUGCAUGCAACAAAGAUCCUGCUCUCUGAGCCAGGGAAAUGGCAGCUUAGAUGAAAGCACCGGUAUCUAAGCCUCACGACCUGACUUCAUCCCCAGGACCCAUGUGAUGGGGGUAGGAAACCAACUCCUAUAAGUUGUUUUCCAGCCUGAGACAUGCUCAACAUAGCGCAUGCACCACCCCCAUAGAGAAUCAAAUACUUAAAGGUAACGCACGUGUUUUAAAUUGUUCUUUAUCAGCUCCGCACAGUAGCACACAGCUGUAAUCAAGUUACCCAAGAUUGGAUGAGAGCCUCAGCCAGGUAACCAGACCAACUAAGCUAAGCCACCCACCAAUAUUCAAUAAGUCGACUAUAGAGCUAAGUAGACUUGGACCAAAAGCAGCUGAGGUAUCUAUCUGGUGGUGGAACAAUAUGACUGCACACCGCAGUGGUGACCAGCUCCACUUUCUUGAGAGCCAUCUACAAGGACAAGAGAAGCAGCAGUCCCUGCUCUCCCAACCAACAACAGUGAGGUCUUCAUGCCUGCUCACCCAAGAGGAGAAGGUGGUGUCCAUUUACUAAGCCUGCCAGGGCAUGGAGUGACCUCUGCAGCCAAGUGAGCCAUGUGAAGGAGUCAGGAGGGGAGGGGCUCCAGCUCCAGCCUGAAAACCUUCAAACCUAGCUGAAGCUGCGAAACAUGUCAAGCGUUUCACAUUUGCCAAGCCCGUAAGUGCCUGCCCAGCCCCCACCCCCAUCUACAUGCAAUUUUAGUUUCCUCCCGAGGAUACAGGGAUACAGGGAGUGGAGUCUGCUCUAUCCAGCAGCAAAACCCAAAGCCAGCAAGACUGAUGCCCG